rnacentral:misc_RNA from 1 species
AAGUCGUAACAAGGUUUCCGUAGGUUAACACGUAGUUGCGUUUCAACCCCUGUGAACUUGUCUGGAAGGCGUGCGAGCUUUGAUGGCCUAAAUCAGCCGCCGUAUGUUGACUAGGCUGUUGCCAAGUGCUUGCGCGGUCUGCGUGACUUUUGCAACACAAGGCAUCUCCACACUGUAGUACGGCCCCCUUUUUUGUCAUUUACUAAAUGAACUAAAUGUUACGGAUGGAACCAAGGGACUGCGGUUCUUUGGCAUCAUCAUCUGAUUAGCAAACUGUUACAACUCUUAGCAACGGAUAUCUUGGCUCUC